AAGACAGGUGUGCUCUGGGUACAGGUGUCAUAUGAAGACAGGGUGUCAUAUGAAGACAGGUGUCAUAGGAAGACAGGUGUGCUCUGGGUACAGGUGUCAUAGGAAGACAGGUGUCAUAUGAAGACAGGUGUGUGCUGGGUACAGGUGUCAUAUGAAGACAGGUGUCAUAUGAAGACAGGUGUCAUAUGAAGACAGGUGUGCUCUGGGUACAGGUGUCAUAGGAACACAGGUGUCAUAUGAAGACAGGUGUGUUGGUGAUACAGUGGUGAGCUGCGUACAUGU
rnacentral:lncRNA from 1 species